rnacentral:rRNA from 1 species
AAAGGAAGAAGCCUUUGGGUUUGUAAAUUUCUUUUUUGGAGGGAAGAGAAAGGCCGGUCCUUCAGGAAUAAGUUUCGGCUAAUUACGUCCCAGCAGCCGCGGUAAAACGUAGGAAGCGAGCGUUAUCCGGAUUUACUGGGCGUAAAGGGCAGGCAGGCGGUUUGUUAAGUCUUACUUGAAAGCUCUCGGCUCAACUGGGAGAGGCGGUGGGAAACUGGCAAACUAGAGGAUGGUAGAGGAGAGUGGAAUUCCCGGUGUAGUGGUGAAAUGCGUAGAUAUCGGGAGGAACACCAGUGGCGAAAGCGGCUCUCUGGGCCAUUACUGACGCUCAACUGCGAAAGCCAGGGGAGAGAACGGGAUUAGAAACCCCGGGUAUUCCUGGCCGUAAACGAUGUUAACUAGGCGUCGGCGGUGUCAAAGCUGCCGGUGCUGCAGCCAACGCGAUAAGUUAACCGCCUGGGGACUACGGCCGCAAGGCUAAAACUCAAAGGAAUUGACGGGGGCCCGCGCAAGCAGCGGAGCGUGUGGUUUAAUUCGAGGCUACGCGAAGAACCUUACCAGGGAUUGACAUGCAGAUGGUAGUGAAGCGAAAGCGGAGCGACCCUUCGGGGAGUCUGCACAGGUGCUGCAUGGCUGUCGUCAGCUCGUGCCGUGAGGUGUUAGGUUAAGUCCUGUAACGAGCGCAACCCUCGUCGUUAGUUACAAGUGUCUAACGAGACCGCCGGUGAUAAGCCGGAGGAAGGUGGGGAUGACGUCAAGUCAGCAUGGCCUUUAUAUCUUGGGCUACACACACGCUACAAUGGCCGGUACAAUGGGCCGCGAAACCGCGAGGUGGAGCCAAUCCCGCAAAGCCGGUCUCAGUUCGGAUGACAGGCUGCAACUCGCCUGUCUGAAGUCGGAGUUGCUAGUAACCGCGCGUCAGCAUAGUGCGGUGAAUACGUUCCCGGGCCUUGUACACACCGCCCGUCACGUCAUGGAAGUUGGCAACGCCUGAAGCCGGUGGGCUAACCUCGGUGUAACCGGGGGAGCAGCCGUCCAAGGUGGGGUCGGUAACUGGGACGAAGUCGUAACAAGGUAGCUGUAGCGGAAGCUGCGGCUGGAUCACCUCCU